rnacentral:rRNA from 1 species
AUUGAACGCUGGCGGCAGGCCUAACACAUGCAAGUCGAACGGUAACAGAAAGCAGCUUGCUGCUUUGCUGACGAGUGGCGGACGGGUGAGUAAUGUCUGGGAAACUGCCUGAUGGAGGGGGAUAACUACUGGAAACGGUAGCUAAUACCGCAUAACGUCGCAAGACCAAAGAGGGGGACCUUCGGGCCUCUUGCCAUCGGAUGUGCCCAGAUGGGAUUAGCUAGUAGGUGGGGUAACGGCUCACCUAGGCGACGAUCCCUAGCUGGCCUGAGAGGAUGACCAGCCACACUGUAACUGAGACACGGUCCAGACUCCUACGGGAGGCAGCAGUGGGGAAUAUUGCACAAUGGGCGCAAGCCUGAUGCAGCCAUGCCGCGUGUAUGAAGAAGGCCUUCGGGUUGUAAAGUACUUUCAGCGGGGAGGAAGGGAGUAAAGUUAAUACCUUUGCUCAUUGACGUUACCCGCAGAAGAAGCACCGGCUAACUCCGUG